GGAUCAUGAUGGAGGUUAUCAGCCUUUGGAUGAAUUAACAAAAAGGAUGAAAAUUGACGUACCAGAUUUUUCUGGAAAAUUAGACCC
rnacentral:sRNA from 1 species